AGGAUAGUUUUUAAUAUAUUCGCACAUUACAUCUUUUAAUGUGUAGAUCUGGACACACACAGGCACAGUUCUGUUUGGAACAUUUGUUUGUUUCUGUUCUUUUGUUCACACAAAUGUUCUUGACAAUUCCUUAUUGACUUUGGGGUUUGCCUCUUCUGUUCACCCCUCACUGAUCACGUGCUGUAAAUUUCUGCUGACGUUGGUGCCUUUAUUCAGAAAUAAGAUGUAUUUAAAUGACUAUCGUACUGAGAAAAUUAUUUAUUCAAUGAUUAAAUAACAAUAAUCCUGAUAAUAAUAGUCAUGUUAGCUUACUGGUGCCAAGCAAACGCAGUCCUGGCUCGUAAUCCCUGAGCAGCAGAUCUGUAGCCUGAUUUGAGGUACAGAAGAGACCUCUUGGUCCAUAUUUUAGCUGAGCUCUGGUACCAAGAACAACAAUAAUGUGAAACAACUCUGGUCUUAGAUGUUUGUCUCAAAUCCUGUUUCAACCUGAAGAAGAAAUCCUUUCUUCUUCUCUCCUGAGUCCAUCAGAAGACUGUUGUCCUUUUUGGUUCUGACUAAAGAGGAAGUUAAUGUGACAUCACUUCCUUAUCUAUAGCACGAAUUCAAGAAGAGAUAAAAGUCAGUAAAAUUUCUCAGUCUGGUCACAUCAUCAGGAGAAGUUACAGGACGCUCACGCUCCGUUGUUCAUGCUGCAUUUCUGGUCGUUCUCUGGGGACCUGCUGAGUGGAUCAACUGAGACCAAACACUGCAGAGGCAUGAAGGCUGUGAUGGGACUAUUGCUGAUGUUGGUCAGAGUCUCUCUGGGUGUAGAAACCUCCUGUGAUGGCCGGCAGGAUAAAACUCAGUGUUAUGGAGCUCUGGGAGGGACUCUGGUCCUGCAGUUGAUGGACAAAGUCCCAGAGAUACUGACAUUCAAAUGGUGGAACUCAAAAGGAAUAAUUCUGAGUCGGAUUGGUAAUGGGCCUGUGAUGAAUAGAUUAUCAACCAGGUCAGAGUUUAUUUCCCAUAAUGGAACAUUGAGGAUGAACAGCCUGAGCAGAACUGAUGGUGGUGAAUAUAAACUUGAAAUAUUUAAUGAGGAUGGAGUGAGAACAGCAGUACGGACUCUACAGUUGAACAUCCAAGCUCCUGUGUCGACUGUCCGGCUGACGUCUGAGUGUCUGUCCCAGGGAGAGAAGAGGAUGUCCUGCUCCUCUGAUGGAGACAGUCCUCAGUACAGCUGGACUCUGGAUGGAGACACACUGACAGAUGAUCAGCUCCUCUCUGGGAAUAAUGAGACUAAUGAGAUCAUUCUGAAACAAACAGUGUCAGGACGGCUGGUGUGUUUAGUCAGGAAUCACGUCAGUGAAGCCUCAGUAACAGAGAUGAUUUCAACCUGUGGCUACAUUUUCAUUGAGUGUCAAUUAUCAAAUGGGACAAACAUAACACAGUGGGUGUUUGCAGCAAAUAACACACUGUGUAUUAAACCAACAACCACAACAACAACAACAACAACCAUAACUACAGAGAAUGUUGGUAAGGAGAGUGACAUCACAGUGUCUAAUAACCCCUCCACUAAAAUAACACCCUCCAAUCAAACAUCCUCCAAUACAGAUGGUCCAUUGUACCUUCGACCUACAACCCUGAUGGUAACUGGAAUUGUACUCUCUUUGCUGCUCAUCGGCUUGAUGGCCGCUUUUGUGAUGGUCUGUGCUCAUAAGAGAAGAGAAAGCAGCAAUGCUAGAGGAGGAAAUGAUCAAGAGUUACAGUAUGCUGACGUCAAGAGGCAGCAGCCGAGCAGAGACGUGCAACCGCAGGCAGAAAUGGGAGGAUAUGGCCAGAUCACCUUUUCAGCGCAGACCGACAAGCCACCCGCAGGUCGCGGUGCUGUCCAGAGGGGGCAAGAGGUGGAAUAUGGAGAGAUCAAGUUUGCAGAGCGGCCUCAGCAGAAAAACAGACUGAUGGGACCCUCUGGAUCCCCUCAGGGGGCGCCACAGGUGGAAUAUGGAGAGAUCAAGUUCAUCGAACGGCCCCGGAGGGCCAGGUGA
ensembl:lncRNA